UGGCUCAGAGUGAACGCUGGCGGCAGGCCUAACACAUGCAAGUCGAGCGGCAGCGCGUCCGACCACCCUCGGGUGGUCGGAUGGCGGCGAGCGGCGGACGGGUGAGGAAUGCAUCGGAAUCUGCCUCGUUGUGGGGGAUAACGUAGGGAAACUUACGCUAAUACCGCAUACGACCUACGGGUGAAAGUGGGGGACCUUCGGGCCUCACGCGAUGAGAUGAGCCGAUGCCGGAUUAGCUAGUUGGCGGGGUAAAGGCCCACCAAGGCGACGAUCCGUAGCUGGUCUGAGAGGAUGAUCAGCCACACUGGAACUGAGACACGGUCCAGACUCCUACGGGAGGCAGCAGUAGGGAAUCUUGCACAAUGAGGGAAACCUUGAUGCAGCGACGCCGCGUGCGGGACGAAGGCCCUAGGGUUGUAAACCGCUUUCAGUAGGGACGAAAGUGACGGUACCUACAGAAGAAGCCCCGGCCAACUAUGUG
rnacentral:rRNA from 1 species